rnacentral:rRNA from 1 species
AUUGAACGCUGGCGGCAUGCCUUACACAUGCAAGUUGAACGGUAACGGGCCUUCGGGUGCCGACGAGUGGCGAACGGGUGAGUAAUGUAUCGGAACGUACCCUUCAGUGGGGGAUAACGUAGCGAAAGUUACGCUAAUACCGCAUAUUCUGUGUGCAGGAAAGCAGGGGAUCGCAAGACCUUGCGCUGAUUGAGCGGCCGAUAUCAGAUUAGCUAGUUGGUGAGGUAAAGGCUCACCAAGGCGACGAUCCAUAGCUGGUCUGAGAGGAUGAUCAGCCACAUUGGGACUGAGACACGGUCCAGACUCCUACGGGAGGCAGCAGUGGGGAAUUUUGCGCAAUGGGCGAAAGCCUGACGCAGCAACGCCGCGUGAGUGAUGAAGGCCUUCGGGUCGUAAAGCUCUGUCAGAGGGGAAGAACCGCCUGUCAGCUAAUACCUGUCAGGUCUGACGGUACCCUCAAAGGAAGCACCGGCUAACUCCGUGCCAGCAGCCGCGGUAACAC